rnacentral:rRNA from 1 species
UACGAAGGGGGCUAGCGUUGUUCGGAUUUACUGGGCGUAAAGCGCACGUAGGCGGAUCGUUAAGUCGGGGGUGAAAUCCUGGAGCUCAACUCCAGAACUGCCUUCGAUACUGGCGAUCUUGAGUCCGGAAGAGGUGAGUGGAACUCCUAGUGUAGAGGUGGAAUUCGUAGAUAUUAGGAAGAACACCAGUGGCGAAGGCGGUGCUCUGGGCCGGAACUGACGCUGAGGAGCGAAAGCGUGGGGAGCAAACAGG